GUUUGAUCCUGGCUCAGAUUGAACGCUGGCGGCAGGCCUAACACAUGCAAGUCGAGCGGUAACAUUUCAAAAGCUUGCUUUUGAAGAUGACGAGCGGCGGACGGGUGAGUAAUGCCUGGGAAUUUGCCCAUUUGUGGGGGAUAACAGUUGGAAACGACUGCUAAUACCGCAUACGCCCUACGGGGGAAAGCAGGGGACCUUCGGGCCUUGCGCUGAUGGAUAAGCCCAGGUGGGAUUAGCUAGUAGGUGAGGUAAAGGCUCACCUAGGCGACGAUCCCUAGCUGGUCUGAGAGGAUGAUCAGCCACACUGGGACUGAGACACGGCCCAGACUCCUACGGGAGGCAGCAGUGGGGAAUAUUGCACAAUGGGGGAAACCCUGAUGCAGCCAUGCCGCGUGUGUGAAGAAGGCCUUCGGGUUGUAAAGCACUUUCAGCGAGGAGGAAAGGGUGUAAGUUAAUACCUUACAUCUGUGACGUUACUCGCAGAAGAAGCACCGGCUAACUCCGUGCCAGCAGCCGCGGUAAUACGGAGGGUGCGAGCGUUAAUCGGAAUUACUGGGCGUAAAGCGUGGGCAGGCGGUUUGUUAAGCGAGAUGUGAAAGCCCCGGGCUCAACCUGGGAACCGCAUUUCGAACUGGCAAACUAGAGUCUUGUAGAGGGGGGUAGAAUUCCAGGUGUAGCGGUGAAAUGCGUAGAGAUCUGGAGGAAUACCGGUGGCGAAGGCGGCCCCCUGGACA
rnacentral:rRNA from 1 species